GGGCCCAUAGCUCAGCUGGGAGAGCGCCGCGUUCGCAAUGCGGAGGUCAGGGGUUCGAGCCCCCUUGGGUCCACCA
rnacentral:tRNA from 1 species